rnacentral:lncRNA from 1 species
CGAGUGAAAACUCUUGUCCCUUGAAAGAGAGUAAAAAUACAGAGAGAGAUGAAAAAUUGAGAAUAAUCCUAGGAAGAAAGACGAGAUAGAUUAACAAUUUCGUUUCGAGAAAAAAAUGGAAGAAGCAAAGGCAAUGCAGCAGUAGCAGCAGUUGAUCCAAGAACAACAUCGACAACAACAACAACAACAUUUUCUGCUCUUACAGCAAUUGCAAAAGCAACAUCAAUCAUCCGCAAUUUCUCGCUUCUCUUCCAACAUUGACGCUCACUUGCGUCCCAUAAGACCCCUCAAUCUUCAACAAAACCCUAACCCUAACCCUAACCCUAAUCCCAUUCUCAAUUUACACCACAACCCUAAUUCAAACCAUCUACCUCAGCAACAGCACCAAAAGAUUAUUCGACCCCCCGGGAAUCAAAUCGAGCUCCAGAUGGCUUAACCAUCUACCUCAGCAACAGCACCAAAAGAUUAUUCGACCCCCCGGGAAUCAAAUCGAGCUCCAGAUGGCUUACCAAGACGCCUGGCGGGUCUGCCAUCCGGAUUUCAAGCGACCCUUUUCUUCUCUCGAAGAUGCCUGCGACAUGUUCUUUCUCUCAUCUCUAUUCAGUGUCGUGAUUCGUGGAAAAUGCUAAACAACUUAGCAUGACCCAUCUUUCGCUAUAACUACCUUUUCAAAUUCCAACUAUAUUUUCUACUUUUUUCAUACUUCCAUUUUCUAUAAAAUUUAUGCAAUGUGGUUAUGG